UCAAAUAAAGGGCGUGACCCCUGCUU
rnacentral:piRNA from 1 species